GUGACGAAGCGACGCCGCGUGUGGGAAGAAGGCCUUCGGGUUGUAAACCACUGUCAGGAGUUAAGAAAUGUAAGGGUGCUAAUAGUAUCCUUACUUGACUAAGGCUCCAGAGGAAGCCACGGCUAACUCUGUACCAGCAGCCGCGGUAAUACAGAGGUGGCAAGCGUUGUUCGGAAUUAUUGGGCGUAAAGAGCACGUAGGCGGUUCUGCAAGUCGGCUGUGAAAGCCUUCCGCUCAACGGAAGAACAGCAGUUGAUACUACAGGACUAGAGUGCGGGAGGGGAGAGUGGAACUUCUGGUGGAGCGGUGAAAUGCGUAGAUAUCAGAAGGAACGCCGGCGGCGAAAGCGACUCUCUGGCCCGUAACUGACGCUGAGUGUGCGAAAGCUAGGGGAGCAAACGGGAUUAGAUACCCCGGUAGUCCUAGCCGUAAACGAU
rnacentral:rRNA from 1 species